rnacentral:misc_RNA from 1 species
GCAGGACUUCCCAAAGAAGUAUACGCACUGUCUUCCCAUCUCACGCUGAUCUUAAUUUGAUACCAACCUUGCUGAAAAAGGUCAAGGUUGUGAAACCUAUGUAUGUAAAUGGCAAUUUCUUGCACAGUAUCCAACAUGUCAAUCGGUUUAAUUUUAGUUUGGCAUGGCUUCGAACUGGGCAACCUCUUCUGUGUCCCAAUCUUAGGAUUAAUACCAAUUAAGCACCCUAAAUGCUGAA